ensembl:lncRNA
UUUUCAUUUUCAAUAGCUACACAAUAUGAUAAAAAUAUGACGAGGCAACAAAGUAUCAGCAGUUAUGGUUACAGUGCAUCAGUAGAAGGACUGCUGAAUAACUUCUUGUGCAUGCACAAUCUUUUUAUUUACUAAAGCGACAGGACAAAUUCUUGAGAACUUGACCACUAUCAGUCAAGCAUGCAAACAAGCUAGUAGGUAAGCUCCUGGCUGCUGUCCAAAUGCCAUGAGUCACAGAUCACAGACAACAGAUGGUGUGAUAGAGCUCUUCUUUGUUAACUUUGGCAGGAACCACAGAGCGUCUUACUGGAACCCAUUCCGCCCAUCCCUUCACAUCCCUUCUCUGAACACAAUCCCCUCAAGAGUAUAUCAUAAAAAACAGUCGUAAAUCAAAUGGAGCAUAAAUAAAGUUUAACAGGAAACAAAAUGUGUGAAACAGUGUGAGACGAAAAGUUAUUUUUGGGCUCCGUAAAAGGAGCAAUGACGAGGGGAAGAAAGAGAUCAUAGGGAGGGAAGAUGAUUUUUCUUAUCAAGCAAACAUGACUUGGGUGUUGAUGUCUUAAUUUGUUUUUCUUGUACAUUGUAAUAUAAUCUCUGUACAAUCAAAGGUAUUUUGACAAAUGAGUCUGGUGCGCACUGCCAGGCUUGCUGUGUGAUUGCAUAACUUUCGCCGCUGAAAUUCAUUAAUAGCCACAUAAUGGAAAAGCAAAGAGAAGCACUGCAGUGACAGCAAAAUGAACGGGCCUUUCCUCGGAAAGUCUCGAGACAAGACAAAUACGGCGUGUAAAUAACCAUUGUGCUUCAGGCCGGCACAUUCCAGAUCUGAGGACAAAUAGGCAGCCGUGUUAUCAAUCACACUGGUACAGUGCACUGUCACUUGCUCUUUUCAUCCAUUCCAAAUGACAGUCAUAACUUUGCCCUGACAAACCCAGCCAGCUUGAGCAACUUCCCCAAUCUAUCAAAGCUGUCAGAGGCAUUGCACGGCUAUGUUCUGAUUAAUUAUACCCUUGCUGCUCAGAGCUGUCAAUCAUCCAAACAGAUGUGGUUGCAACUCCACCAACAAGAGCUCAAACUGCCCCACCGACAUCCUGAAAUAUGUAUGAAAGUGGUGAAAGCCUCAACUCCUGGAUCAAAUCGUGAAAUUCUGCCUGCUGCUGCCUUCUCGUGAGAAUUGGAUCAACCCAGGAUCUCCAUUUCUUCAUUUUCUGUCGCUUGAGGGAGACUUUUCUCCACAGUGCGUUUUUUGUUCACUAAAAAUUGCUUAUCUGUAAAUAUGUUACAUCAGGUUUUUGGGGGGGUUUUGCAACACGUUUGGUGCGUAAAGGUCUUUAGCCUUAUAAUUCACUGUUGAGUUUUUUAAUCUUCCAAUCCAGUAAUAUAUAGUUAAAAUAUUUACUAGAGCUGAAUCAUGAAUGAGCUUUGAUUACUGCACACACAUGCUAGCUUCUGUAUGUAUGGGUUAGCAGUUAUUAAAAGUUUGAUGUUAGUGCUUUAAAAAGCUGUUACUCUUUUUUUUUUUCAACAUAGUCCAAAUUUAAUCUUUGGCUAUCUUGUUAAAAAAAACGUUAUUAAAUUUCUCAGCGCUAAAAUGAAGAACUCAAAAUCAAUAUGUUCUUACAUACUGUCAUAUUAGCACAGAAACGAAUGUGUUAAAUAGUAAAAAUCCAGAAAACGCCAGGUGGGGAAUCUUCUCUCUGGUACAGUAGUCGCUAUUAUCUGCUACUGAGUAUUUUUAAGAUUAUGAAAGAGGGCUUUGUCAAACAGAAGCAUGUAUACUUAGCAAACGUCCCACUGAAGAAGAAAGACAACACAAAAGUACACAGAUGUGCUGUAGAUGUGUGCCCAGGUGCAAACUCAUAACUGGUGCAGGCUGAUUCUAUAUUUCUGGAAACAGCUCUUGGCAAAAACAUAAGUACACUGCACCCACUGCAUAUUUAGUAGUCAUGCAGCUGAUGGACACUUUUGAAAUUGUGCAAUACUCACUUUAAUAUAUAUCAAUCAAAUUAUGUUAGUAAAGUUACCUGUAAUUUUGUACAACACAGUCAGUCAUUUAAACUAACAACCGUUGAAGCCAGCGCAGGUCUCUAAACAUGUCUAUUGGUUCAGCCUUUGCAGGUACAUCGUGGCACUUGCGCAAUGGAAAGACUGCAUGAGAGGAAGAAGAUGAUGAUUGGCAGGGCCCUCUGGCCAGCUGACUGGCUGACAAACUCCCUGGCCAACUGGUUAGGGGUUUUCCUCUUCUGCAGCUGGACAGAAAGGAGGAGAAUGUAGUAGGAUAACUGAAGAAGUGAGAGACAGAGCGGGGGGGCAACACAAGUAAAAGAGAAGGGAGAAAUGGACCAAGCGCUGUGCCAGCAAUUCGCUCUGCUGUUGUUUUAGGAGCCUUAAUAAACACAUCCAUAAACUUGGUCUGUGCGUCGCUUUCCUUCCACCUCUUCCCAGGAUGGCCAAUGCAAGGCGCACAGGGGGAGUUGAAUACAACAAAACUCUAUUAUAGCACCAUUUCUAGUUCUACUUUGCAGCUUACUCAUAUU